ensembl:lncRNA
UGGGGAUUGUGGGAAAGCUGUCAAGCUCUCUGUCUUGUGUAACGCUUCUGUUUUGCGAUAACAACAACAACAAAACCCCUGAACAAAUGCAGAAGCUCUGAAGGAAUGCAGGGCUAACAACGGAAGCAAGAAGACAGUUUUGGAUGCCUCCUGGCUUUCAGGAGAGAAAUGCAAGAGAAGAUGGCGCUGAGCUGGAAGAGUGUGAUGGAACUUAAGAUAUUUGGACAGCCCCAGCCACAAGAGAUGAAGCUUAAUUUCCCAUGUAUGGAAACCUCCCUUCUUGCCCAUUGCUGCAGAAGUCACUAUACUAAGUUUCCAAAAUAUAAUGGGAGCCUAUUCAGACAUCAAGGUCCUGGUAACUUGAAUAUGUUGGUGGUGGGAAUUCUGGACACAUCACUCAAAAUUCCAUGAGCUACACUUUGGUCCUAUCAAGACAGGCAGGCAGCUGCAUGAGAGGUGGAAAGAGAGAAAAUGAUUGAGAUGAAAUCACCACCAACAACUAUUGCAGGCAGCAAAGCAGCAUUGGAUUCCAGCCACCAUACUUCUGCAACCAGGUGUGAAUGAGCCUGAUGGGAUGUUAUUAUGGAUCCUACACUGAAAAAGGGAGAGGGAUUAAAAUCUGUGUUCACAGGCUGAGAGCAGGUGUCUGCGAUGAGAUCCCAUGCUGUGACAUGCAUGCAGCACACUCUUACAUGAAAAGCCCUGGCUGAUGAAAUGACCACAGGAAGACAACACAGAACCCUCCUGGCAGGAUCAGAAGAAGCUUAAUUAAGCUCUGUGGUUAAUGUUAAAGUCCUUUUGUCAGAAGCAUAACAAGGAACUUCAGUCUGGCUUUCAAAAGUGCUGAACACCCAAAACUCCUACUGAGGUCUCUGUGAAUCACAGCACAGAACAAGUGACUCUUCCCUUCACUCUGCAAGUGCUACAGAUUCAUGUGCUUCUACUAAAAUCUCCACGUGCCCGGCACUACAGAAGAGGAAGUGUGGCUCUCUGAACUGAGAUUUUUGGAUGAAGCUCCAAAAAAUGCUUCUGCUUCCAGCACUCCCCACCCCAUCCCACAGGCUGUCUCCUGGCCUUAUGCUCCUGUGUAUUGAGGGAAGGCAGCUCUUCUGCCCUGCAGGUGGAGAAAUCCCUUGGCCAGGCCUUGGUGGAUCCUUCAGGCCCAGCCUCUGUCCCACGGCUGCUCCCCAGCGCAGCACUCAUUUCUGCUGCAGAGAUGCAGGUAUCUGAGCACAAGCUACAUCGGUGCAAGGCUAGUUACUGUGCCAGGAGAACAUGUCCAACUGCCUCUUAAUAAAAGGAUGAUAAAGAGAAGGCUAGGUAAGAUAUACCAGAUUUAUUCCAAGGCACUUUGUGUACCAUGGGGUUAGGUAGAUAGAAGACUCCCUGUAUUUUACAGCUGAGAGGGGUAUCAAAAUCUUCUGCUGCUGCUCUUUCACUUCCUUCAUACAUACACUAGGACUUUUACCCCAUGCUACCUGCCCCAAGCGAUAGUGCUGUAUUGCAGCCAAUUAAUGAACCAUUGAAAUGAGUCCUUCUAGUACAAAAACCAGGUUGGAUUAUAUGAGUUAUUUAUAUUGUAUUAUAGAUUAUCUUCAGGGUUCCUUCCAACCCAGGCCCUUUAUGAUUCUACGAUACCAGUUUUGUUUGGUGUAAGAUUUAUUGUUUUUCUUUUAACAUAUGCCGGGUGAGAUGCUCUCCAAAUCUCCAACACUUUCUGCUUAAAUAGUCUUCAUCUUUCCAGAAGAGCAGUGCUCUAUUUGACUGCAGAGUUGGAUCACCCACCUGGAUCUUGGAUCCUGCCCAUUUUUGCUGCUGUUCGUGCUUUAAAUCAUUAGCAGAGCAUUUUUAUGAACACAGGAGUACCAAUCUCCUUCCAAGCAGGAGGCUAUCUCUCUGGUUGAAAUAAAAUUAGUUUAAUCUGGUCAAAGGCAGGAAUUUUUGAGCUUCAGCUCCAGAACUUGCCUUGCUGCUGCUGUCAGGCAUGCCUCGUCACCAUUUUGCUGUGGGAUGCUUUGUACUGGCUGUCUCCCCAGUUUCAGUCCUUGCUCAUCAAGGUCUCUUCUGUCACUGUCAGGUCACUGCCAGGCUAUACUUGACCUGGCUGAACUGUCAGAAAACUGCUGGCAUCCAAAGGGAGCAGGUGACCCUUCCUCCCUACCCAGCCCCUCAGCCCCACACAACUGGUGUGGUUUAUGUGUGCUCACGUCACUGAACGGAGCACCUCACUAUGAUGGCUUUGACGCUGGAAGAAUAACUAACUGCAAGGCUUCUUUCGUUUGGAAUUUUCAUUUGUAUAUCCUGGGAAUCCCCAUGCAGGUGCUGCAAUACAAGGGUGGCGUUGAUACAGAUUUUGGAGAUAAGCAUGGUAUGUUGAAGGUUUCCUGGUCACCUAAAAGUUCUGCUUUGAACUGCACAUUGUUUUCAGGUGCCCUCCGUUCUCCCAGCAUGGUUGUUCCACUGCGGAAAAACAAGUCAGGAUGUACUGGGGAGAUGCUGCUCUGAGGCUCCUGCCUGGGUACUGUGUUCAAUAACAUUUUGAUGUCAAAUAAAAAGAGGAGAGGGAGAAAUGAUGCCAAAAAGAAAUCUCAGCUUCAGACAUCUGUUAACUUUGGGUACAGUAGAGGGGAGCUGAGCAGUAUGGCCAGAGCCUAUGGUGUAUUAAUUAACAAAAAGUGAGCACAGUCACUCUGGUUCAAAGAGCUGAAGCAAACUUAGGGUGGUACAGAAGCCUGGGGUUGCUCUGCCAUUUGGGAAGGCAACUUCCCCCUAGGAAGAAGUUACGGUCUUUAAUCAUAGGCAGAUUACUUUUCUUCUGAAAAGUAACUUGUUUUGCUAGGGUGGCAAAGGCUUCUAAUUUGUUUCGGUUUUUUUAAUUAUUAUUAUUAUUAUUUUGUUCCUAUCUGAGAAAUGUCCUUUAAUGGAAAAGGUAGAUUUAAAAAAAACAGAUAAAAAAGAGAAAAUGUGGACUUGAGGAGCCUGGGUUUGUUCAAGUACAAGCAUGGAGAGCCUGAGUGAUCUUCACAUUCAGAUCACAACUUUGCUGCAAAGGAAAGGUCACUUUUGCUUGUGUUCAGGGUCAGCUUUUUCUCUUUCGUCCCCUUGGUAAGAUCUCUCCUUUUGUAUUGUUACGGAUCUACCUUGGUUUUGAACUUUCUCCUUUAUCUUUCCUUUGUGUGUGUGUGUGUGUGUAGGGGGGGGGGGAGAGAGAGAACUGAUAUUUCAUCUUUUAAAAGAUUUACAAGAAAAAGAAAUAAUAUAUGCACCACUGUGGAAAAGCAUGUCUCUAUUCAUACCUUUGCGUUUUACCGGAAAAUAUGUCAUUCCUUUCAGAUCCAUGAAUUAAGAUGCACUAUUUUUUGCUGAAGGCUAUUUUAAAUUAGGCUAAUAAAUUGCUGCUCUCUGCCUUGCGUGAUAAUGCAUUACAUUAUCUACUGAUGUACACGUAUUGUUUGACUCUAAUGGUGUGGAAAUUAAAUGUUAGACAUGGGCCAGAUGUUCCUAUAGAUGAAUAUGAAGUAUGACUCUGUCGUAGCUGAGUCUCAAUGGGACAGAAGGGAGACUGGGAGGCUUUCUGAACAACAGCAAUGAAAUCCUAAGUGGGUCACCCGCACCCACACCCAGGAUCCAGGCCUAAUACUGAGUGUUUAUGGGCAUUAUCACCCUCAGUUCUGUUACAGUGCUUCAGCAAGAGCCAGUGCCUCUCUAAUUUCAGAUGCUUCAGUGCUCAUAAGGCCAGGAAGAGCGGCUCAUAUUGAGGGCAAAUGUUUGCCAUCCCUGCCAGGCUGACAGAGCAGCUGAGGGAGCAUCAUUGCCUGAGCUGCAAAACGUUCUGAAGCACUCCCUCUGCCCUCCCCCUCUCCCUUGUUUUCAUGCAGUGGCUGAGGGGGCAAACAGAUGUACAUUACAGUGAAUAUUAAUGAAGGUCCCCCACUGGCAUCUCCUCUCUGGAACAGGGCGGGGGGGAAAGACUUACAAUCUCCCUUGCAGGGCUAAAUUACCCGGUGACUCAUAAUCUAAGUACUGGCCGAAUGUUGCUGAACACGGGUAUUUAGGAUAUUUGAUAAUGAUGGACAGGGGCAUUUUCAAAAUUGGUAAUGAGGCAGCUUUGCUUUGGGGAUCUUCUGAUUCGCUACAGCUCACUAACACCUGAAAGAAAAAAAGGGUCCAAACAAUGAGAUUAACUAAAGGUUUCUGUUCGUGUCUAUGUUCAUACUGUGUGUGAGAUGGAAAGGAAGGACAGUUUUUACACCACUAAAAGAACAAACCAGGACUUGCAGAGCAGCAAGCGGGGGAUGCAUGGCUGCUUUCUUACUGGAUAGGAGAGAUCGACAUCCUCUCUGUUGUCAGCCCUACUGGAGCAGCCCCCUUUGGCCUCUGAGGAUUUUUGUAGGCUGACCUGUGGCUCCUGGCCGGCAAGAGAGGGAGGGCAGUGAAUGGCAGAGAGGGAGCAGCAGCAGGGAAUGGGCAGCGGAGAGCCAGGAAGAGGGCUUUCAUAGCUGCUGCUGCUGGAGUAAGGGGCAUUGAUGUGUCCUGAAGGGUGGCAUGAUCUGAGGGGAACUAGCUGUGGCUGCAGCACUGUGCUGGAUGCAGGCUUGUUUUUGUUUGCCCAGGCUCACUGAAGGCCAGGCGUUGUAAAGCUUUAUGUAUGCCAUUCCCCCUGCUGCAUGUGGCAGUCGCCCUGCAGGGGCAUCAAGCCCCAGUGGGAAGCUUUGGGCCAGCCACAUCUGUGUCUCUCACCAGAUCUUUGAGAGGCAUGUGGUGUGGCCGUGCGAAAUUGGACACACUGUGGUGGUGUCCAUGGGAAUCCCCAAAGGGACACAAAUGCCAGCCAGAGUCCCUGCCAGGGGUGAUCCACCAGCACUGACCCCAGGAGCAAGACAGCAUCAGGUCUUCACCAUACAAUUUUUAGAAAGCCAGGCGCAUUCUCCAUUUAACUACAGUGUUUCUCAGGCUCGUCAGUGGCAGGCACCAUCAGAGAUGCUGAAGAAUGUUUUCAUCACAGCUAACAGAGGGCUAUCCAGAUUGCUCGUAACUGUUUUUAGCACAGUAAACAUGUAAACUGAGUGCCUAGGGGAAAAAAAAGUGGGAAAAAAAAAAGCUUGUCCUUGCAGUAGCUGAUCAUUUUUAAUUAAAUCUCGAUCUAUCAAUCUGUUUAUUGUGUGAGGGAGAGAGAACUAGACCAGAAUGAUUUAGGAUGUGGGUACCGUUGACAUAGUUUACCUGGACUUCAACAAAGGCUUUGACACUGUCUCCCACAGUAUUCUCCUGGAGAAGCUGGCAGUCCAUGGCUUUGACAGGUACAUUCUUUACUUUCUGGGCAAAAAACUGGCUGAAGGACAAGCCCAGAGCGUGGUGGUAAGUGGGGUUAAAUCUAGCUGGCAACCGGUCAUGAGUGGUGUUGCCCAGGGGUUGGUACUGGGGCCUGUCCUAUUUACUAUUUUCAUUAAUCACCUGGACAAGGGGCACCUUCAGUAAGUUUACAGAUGACAUCAAGUUGGGAGAAAGCCUUAAUCUUCCUGAGGGUAAAAAGGCCCUUCAGAGGGAUCUGGACAGGAUGGAUCACUCGGUUGAGGCCAAUGGGAUGAAGUUCAAGAAGACCAAGUGACAAGUCCUGCACUUUGGUCACAACAACCCUAGGCAGUGCUACAGGUUUCGGGCAGAGUGUCUGGAAGACUGUGGAGGAAAUGGACCUGGGGGUAUUGGUCAGCAUUUGUCUGAACAUGAGCAAGCAGUGUGCCAAGGUAGCCAAGAAGGCCAUUGGCAUCCUGGCUUCUAUCAGAAAUAAUGACAUCCUGACUUGUAUCAGAAAGAUUGUUACCAGCAGGACUAGGGAUGUAGUCAUGUAUCCAGUUACACAGUGGACUAGUUGCUGUGCUGAGAAGCACUAACAGACUACUCAUGUGCAGCCUUGUCCCUUUAAACAAGCAACCAGAGCAUGUCACCUGGACUUUGACACUCAUGAUUCAAAGAAGGAUAGAGACAGCCCUAUUUGGAAUAUCUAUAGGAGUGCCUGAAGUAACCCCAAUUCCCUGCUGAAGUACCUAAGUUUUCUCCUUUAUAUCUAUGCUUUCCUGGUCUCUGCAGAGACUUCCAAGGAAAAUCCUUAAUGAGGACUUGUCCUUCUUUCUUAUGGCAUGGACCCAUGGCCAAGGAAAACUACGCCAAGAUUUCCAAGCUUGUAGACGCCACCACUGCAACAUCUGAUUGGAACAACUGCUACCAUCCGGAGCUGAGCACAUCUGAACUGGUGAACCGUCUGACUGAUCCCCACUCACGUAAGCCAGACAGCUUGCUUAUUACUAACAGCUUUAGCUGGAACGGUUACUUAAUUAAAAAUGCCUUGACCAGUCCCAUCACUGCAGGAAGCCAAGACCAAAAAGACUAAGAAAAGUCACUGUGAAUCCAAAUGAAAACCUGCCAUGACUUUUCCUUUGCUCUUCAGUUUCCGAUGCAGAUUCACUUCCUGAUGAGUCAUGAUGUGCACAGCACAUCUGUAUGAAAUAAGUUGUUUCUUCUGACCAUCCCCUGCUACAUCUCCUCCCUCACCCCUACAUCUCAUUCUUGUUUCUAGACCUUACUCACCAAAACUUUCUUAGAAAGAAAGAAGUAAACAACUUUUAAUGCCCACCAGUGCUGUUAUGACAGUAUGAACACUUGAUGUGGAUUUAACCUACAGCUUCAGCUCAGGACUGUGAGCCUGAGCUCUGACUGGUGACAUGAGCAAUCUCUCUGCCACUACAGGAAAAAAAAGAAAAAAAGUGGAGGUUAAACUUUUGAAGAGUACCAAGAAAUGUCUCAAGUUACAUCCCCGGCCUGGAAUUUUAUCCCGUGGUACAUAAAAAAGGGAUGGUUACAUGGAGAAAGCUGGGUGAGCUGACAUAAGAGGUGCUACCAGAGCUUUGUUUGUUGUGUAAAGCAUGAGGGCCUAUUUCUGGCCAAGGAAGUAAACAGAGUUUGGCUGCAAGCUUAUUCUGCUACAGUGCUAAAAUAUUUCCCUCCUGGACACUUUCGUCUCUUUAUUUUUGAUUAAGUGCUGUGCCUCUGCCACCUUGCUGCUGCCUGCUGCUCCUUUCUCCGACAGUUCUCUUUUAUUCCAGCUUCUCUUUUCACUUUUGUCUUUGCUCAUUUGUUUUUCUCUUGGACAUUCUGUACAACGUGCUGUCAUGUACCAUCAUGUUUUAUCCUCUCUCAGCUCUACGUAGACUCCAGCCAGUCCGUGUAAGCUUCCCUGGCAAUUGUCCUGGAGCAGUGUUUCCAUACUAGCACUUCCUUUGUUCUUUGUCCCUGCCCAACUAUGGGAAUUUGUUUGCAUUUGCACAAAGCAUAGACAUUCUGUUUUAAAGAUUUUAUCCCACAGCUAUGUCAAGUUCCUAACACUGUUUGCAUCAUCUAAAAGGUUGCAUUUUUCAAAAACAAAAUAAGAGCCUGCUAGCUGCUUACACUGAGUGAUAAAACAGCAAGUACAAGAACUCUAAAAAAAAAAAAAUAAUAUAUGUGGGUUUGUUCAUGACCCUGACGAGACAUUCGUCUAUGUCGUAAUCAAAGAAUGGCCUGGGUUGGAAGGAACUUCAAAGAUCAUCUAGUAAUCCUUGUCUUCAGUCUACCACUGAUCUAAGCAUGAAAAAAUUGGCAGAUUUGUGUUAUCUAACAGCACCCUUUUCAGAGACAGAUAUAAGGAAGCACAUAGUAUUGGGGCAGCAUACUGUAUAGCAGGAGAAAAUUGACACUCUCAUGUGGGAUUCUGCCCUGGUAAUCUAGCUUAACACAGGCAAUACUGUAGCUUCUCCCAGUUGGUUCACACUUUCAACCUUUCUGAAUUUACUCAGGUGGAGAAAUUCUAAUGCUCACGCAAAAAUCCUACUCAUUGCAAAGAAAGGUUUACUCAUUGUCUAGGGCAGGGCUGAACAUCAAGAUGCCUAUGGACACUCUGCCAAGGCUCUGCUUCUUAUGUCACCUCAGAUUCAUUAGUUCAUCCAAGGCUCAGAGGAAGCAUCUAAUUCACUUUUUGUGAUAUCGUAUUGCCCACACCCAAACUCUGACUCUUGGCUGUGUUUUUUCUCAUAAAGCAGCAGCCAGCACCUUCCCCUGCAGCCUCCAACAUCUCUAUUAGACAGGCUAUUCUGCAGACCAUACCACAGAUAUAGAUAUCCAUCCUGUGCAGUGGAUAACUCUGCUUUAGAGGGCACACCAGCUGCAGUUUCUACUGCCACACCUUACUUCCUUUUGUUCAUAACUUUACCAAAAUUUAACUGUUUGGACUUAAUUGUUGAACAGAAGGUUUUUCUUUUCCUCUCACCAUCCAAACCUAAGCAUAUGGGAAAAUUUCAACUACAAUAUUUCACUAUUUCUAGAAAUUGAGACCAGAAUCAAGGAAAAUUAUUUGUUUAGGAAAAAGAAAGACAUCCUAGAACCUGCAUUAAGGUUCUUUAACAUUCUGCUACCUGGAACUAGACAUCUGCUUUCAGAAUGCUACUGUGUGGCUUGUUUGUCAUUUUUUUGUGGACAUUUUCCCAUAUGUGACAAAUUACAUACUUUUAAAAUAAAAAUCUCUGUGUGUUUGUUCAUGUCUGGAGAAGAUUUGUUGAAGUUGAGGAACUGAAGUAUCUGAGGAGUCCAAUUUUCAGACCCUUCCAGUGAGGACACUUCAUCUUCUUAUGCUUGAGGACCAAAUUAUAUGAUCUUGCUAUCAAGUGACUUGACAUGUUUUAGCCAGCAGUACAACACAGUCCUUCCUUGCUGAAGUAUUACUGUCAAUGGAACAUAAUGCCAGGAAAUUCUCUCUUUUAAUUCCCAGUUCUCCAUCUGCUCAUGCCCAGAAGAAAGAGCGAAUGGGAUGAGUUAGAAUUUUAAAUAAAAUAAUUCAAAUGAAAGCAAUAUUUGCUCACAUAAGCAUCAAGUACUGUGAUUUUCUAAUGCUGGUGGUGAUGGGAAAAGUUGUCAAGAAAGUUGUCUUUAAGCUUCCUUCCAACCUAAACCAUUCUAGGGUUCUGUGAGAUGUGGCCCAUUUGUUCUCUGCACUCCUCACUGAAUAUCUAAUAAUAAAAAUUAAUGUGAAUCCUCUGUGCUUCUGAAGAGCAAACUAUCACUAAAAGCAAUGUGCCAAAUACUCUUCUUCCAUGCGGCUCCACUGAUGGGCCAGGGAUGCAAAGACAGGGUUUGACAGUAAGAGAUUGCCACAAUGUGUGUGGGAUCCAGAGCAUUAAAAGGCAAGGUUACGAUUUCUCAACAUGAAAAGUCUGAAGGAGGAUUCCUGUUCAGAGUGAUUUCAUCUUAGAUGGGAAACAAAUGGAAGAGAAGACUGUGCACAUCUCUGUAAAGCGCUGUAGCAGUUUGGCAUGAUAGAGUGGCAUCUGGGGACUUGGAGAUAUACUCUUUGGAAAUGUAAAGGUAUAGACAAAAUGAAGUCAUAUUAGGCACAGAACCAUCUAUCUCUCAGCAGCGGAGCUGUCUCUCCCUAAUGUAUGUCACAUCUACUCAAAAGUGGGAGAAAACACUCUUCAGAUUCCCUAGUAUUUAUGGAACACACUGAAAGAAAUUGUACCUCAGAACACCAGACUUGCCCCAUAAAAUAAGGAAUGACACUGAUAUAAAGCUGAUUUUCUUGACUGCCGUUCUCAGCAUUCUGGAGAGCCUGAUCCCCAGUAAGGCAAUUUGGCAGAUAGCUAGCUGCUGUAAUGGGGGCAAAGACAUGCAUUUGUUGGAAGGAGAGGCAAAAAGGAAAUGUUAUAGCUUUACCCUCUAAAAUCCAACCCUGUACUUUAAGAACAAAGAUACUUUAAUCACCUUGGCAGCCAGUAUAGCCAGUUCUGAUAUAGGAAAGGUCAAAGAUAUCAUCCUUCUAUUAUCUAGAUUCUAAUUAGGUUGUGAGUAAAUAGGGAACACUGAAGUUGUUUACACAGUGAUUGUCAUGUGCCCUACUGACUUGAAAACACCGAAGACUCCAGCAGCUUUCAAAGCUGCCCAUUGCACAUGUACAUGGUUCUACAAAGUGCAGAAGAGGAGGCUCAGGGGAGAACUCAUCUCACUAAAACUACCUGAAAGGAGGUUGUAGUGAAGUGGACACUGGGCUCUUUUCCCAAGUAACUAAUGAUAGGACAAGAGGUAAUGGCCUCAAGUUGUGCCAGGGUGGUUCAGGUUGGAUGUUUGGAAAGAUUUCUUCUCAGAAGCAUGGUGAGAUAUUGGAACAGACUUCCCAGGGAGGUGGUAGAGUCACCAUCCCGGGAGGAUUUCAAGAAAAGGGUAGAUGUCACACUGAGUGACGUGAUCUAGAAGGGUCACAGGCAUGGGCUGAUGGUUGUACUAGAUGACCUUAGUGAUCUUUCCAACCUUAAUGGUUCUAUGACUCUAUGAAAUGUGGUGAAUUUGAUCUUAGCCUGAAAGAUUUUUUUUAAGUACAUGCACGCUCAUUCCAAAAAAAAAAAAAAAAAAAAAAAAAAGAGAGAACUGUAGAUCUCCAAAGAAUAACUGAGAAGUCAGUAUAGUUCCCCAGAGUGCUAAGACCUACCUAUCUGCUCUCCAUGCAAACUUCAUACAGACCAUGGUGUCUUAGUUUAGCUGAAGAUUAUCUGAGCAAUAAAAUGGCAUAAGGGAUGAAUUCAUCCAGUUUUUGGAAAAAGUUCUGCUCAUUUCCAUGAAAAGCCCUGCAGUGGUUGAGCUCCUUUUGACUUACGAUGAGAGAUGAUUUUGACCUGCUCUCUAUCAUCUGUUAGGCUGCAGCUGUGCCCUCUAGCACUGUAUAUGUAUUCCAAGCUCAUCUAGAUGUGGAAACAAAAGCACAAAUGAGAUGACAAUCUUCCAUUCUUUCUGUGUGCUGCCAAUACCUGUUUGUCCCUAUAAUGACAUUAAUCAUCUUUUAUUUAUAGUGGAAUAUUGGAAGCUUCAAUUUUUCCCUUUUGAUUUAUUUGUAGGACAACAGGUGCACAACUUAAGCAGGUGUAUGGAUGUGCACAUAUGCUGUGAGUUUGCCAAUAGCCAAAAUACAUCUUUAGUAAAUGAUUACUUGUACCAAAGCUGCCAUUAUUUUUGUUUCAUGCCUAAACUUAAUUCCACAACUGUUAGCUCUUACAGUCUAUUAUGUGCUUUGUGUUGCAACUGCAGUAAUGCAACUCAGAAAUGCAAAACCUCUCACCCUUCAAAACCCUUUGCAAACAAGAUGUCCCUAAACCAUACACUGCUCCCAGUUUCUGAUACUUGGAAAAGGUACCGAAAAUGUAUCAACAGUUUCCAUUGGCAACUGCUGCAGAAUAGCAUGAUGAUACCGGUCCAACAGCUGACACAAAAUGCCUUUCCAUAUGUAAAGCUGUGCCUUAAACACACAAGGGACACUAAGAAUAAACGUAUUUUCUAUUUCUUUUGUCUAACAGCAAAUGGGUUGUGAAGAAGUGCUGGAUGCCUUAAAAAAUGCAGUUAUAAUUUUGGAUCCAAGCUGUGAGAACACUCAUUGGAGACAACUGUUCUCUCAUGGGCUAGCCUUGAAUAAACAAUCACAGCUCUGUGUGAUAUUACUUCUUAACCAGAUUCUAGCAUUGAGCUGUUGCCUUGCCAUGGUUACUUGCCUUUUAAACCAAUGUUUCUUUUCCUUCCUUUUUGCCAAGAUUCUUGCUUGCUUGGCAGUCGCUCGUUCUCCUUUGAACUUUUGCCCUAUUUUAAUCUCCACCAAAUUUUUAGUCUAAAAGAACCUUUUCAACGAUAUCUUUUGUUGUCCUGAAUUUCUUUUCUCGCUGUGAGAACUUACUUGGGGACAUGGCUUACGGGAAAGUGCCCAAGUGACUGUCUUCUCCUGAGUAUCCAGCAGCUGGCAUGCAUCCGUGAGGAGAUUAUGAAACAAAGCCACGACAGCACAAGACAGUGGCCACUCCUGAAAUAAGAUUAAAUAGUAAAGAAGGACACACGUACACACACAUGCAAACUACCAGGUCAUUCACUGGGAGAUUUACUUGUGCUUGUUAGCUCCUGAGCUUGCCUCAACUGAAUUCAUCUGAGGAUAACACCGUUAAAACCCAUGUCAGAGCAUCACUCUGCCACACAGGGGUCCAGAGCAGAAUCCCUCACUUGUGCUGUGCCCCGGGAGCUGGCAGAGCACCGCAUCCCAUGGAUCAUGUGGGAGUCCUGGAAAAAGGAAGCAUGUCUCUGGCUGCCUCGGGGUAACUCUCCAGGCAACCUGGAAGAAUCAAACUCACAGCUUCUGUGAAGAAGUUAAAAUUCAUCUUAUAUCAGGCAAACGCAUCACCUUGACAUAUUUUGACUUUUUUUUUUUUUUUUUUUUUAACGUGUUUUGUCCUAUUUGGAGAUUCAGGGGGAGAAAUGCAUGCUCUCUCCAAAAUAUUUUUUAGUCACUAAUAUUGUUCCCACUUCUAAAAAGAAAAAGAAGUUAACACAAUUCAGUUUCAGAUUCAUCAAAAGACAUCACUGUGUGAUUUUCUAAAGUAAAGGCAAGUACAUGUGUACAGUAUUCCUGUGCAUAACAUACAUGUGUGUACAUAUAGGUGUACAAAAACAGUGACAGUAUUUCAUACGCAUAUUUAUUACUGGGAAAACCGAUUUUCUUACCAGAAGCAUAACUGCCAAAUUUCUGGCAUUAGUGAAAGCCCAGCUAUUACUAUUUAGAAAUCUCUGUCUCAGGCUGAAUCAUUUUUUGGCUGAGUUUUUAAUGUAAAGUAAAACCUAGCACAAGCCUCAAGGACAACAGACCCCUGUGGUGUGCUGUAUGUAAAAUGAACCACAUUAAUGUCAUUCUGGUAUGUGCAUCAUAUAUUCUGAUAGAGAAACCAGGGCCAAUAGUUUAGUCAUAUUUAUUCACAGACUAAUAAGAAUCUGUGUUAAUUGACUAAGAUAUGCCUGAGAGCAUCUUUUCACCAUCUGAAUAGUUGGGCUGAAUGUAGGAAGACCAGCAAGAUACCUAUUUCCUUUAAAACAUAACCUUACCAACAUUUUAUGUUAGAAGAUUUUAAACUAAAUCAAACAAUUCAAAGUCUAUCCUUGCUCACUCUUAUUUAUUAACUUUUAGAGAGCAAUUUUCUUCACAGUAGCAAAAUCAAUACUCUGAGAUAAAACUUCUAACAAGAGUUUCCUUUCUCAUAAAAUUUUAUUGGCAAUUUAAUUCUUCAUCUGUAUUGAAAUGGUAAAAUGUAAAGAGCAAUGUUCUUUUUUGCUAGUAAAACAUCCUUAUUUACUUUGGAACACAUGCAGAAGGCACAUUUUCAGCUGAGUUCAAUCAUUUUCUGUUUCCUUGAUAUCUUCAUAUGCAGACAAUCCUGACUGACAGAAAAAUCACUAGCUAAUUGACUACAGCAUGCUUUAUAUGCAAGCUUUAUAUGCAAGUAUUGGUAGCAACCUACUCUUUAGACUCCCUGUGGGCUGGAGGUGGGCAACCUGCGGCAGAAGUGCCCAGCCAUGUGCUGCUUUGCUCUUCACAGAAACAAGAUGUUACCUUGGAGUAAUUUGCCCCUUAGCACCCAAUAUGCAAACUUCCAAUUGACUCCAGCUGGAUUUCUGCACCUUGCUGUAGUUCACGUACAGCAGCAAAUCCUUGUACUACCUUGGGCAUGGAAAAGAGGUAAACAGGCACACCAUGCCUCUCAGUCCAGGAUGGGAACAUAAGUAUUUAAGAGACAGACACGCAUCCUUUCCCAUGAGAAAGGAGGAGACAGAGAAGGAAGGCUACUCCACACCGUGCACAGGGUGUGUCCACACAGUGGUAAUGUGUUGCCAUUCUCAGCUUUUCCAUCCAGCAUUUUCAAAAUUAGACUGGUAGUAAGUAAGGCUUGAGGGGCCGGCUGAGCUCAGCUUUUGGGAAGGAGGCUCCACUGCGUACAAUGCUGACUUGAGUCCCAGUGUCACUUUCCCACACGGAGUAGCCCCUUGAUCUGUGAGUAGUGCCUAUGACUUCUGCCGGGACCACUCGCAAGGACAAUGCGGCUCAGCAGGCUCUUUGUAAAUGUGUGGCCGCAAUACAUUCAUCAGCAACAAUGACUCCUGUAAUCAUUUACAAUGCCUUUGGGCCUCUGUGUGUAAAAAAAGCAUCGCUACGCCAAACCAAUGGGAGAAAAGCUUGUGUGGUGGUGGCUUUAAAAUCGGAAUUGUGAAGCGUUAUUUGUAUCGAGAGACGAAAUAGCAAGAAGUGGAAAGGGUGAGAAAACAUGAAAAGAAAUGCGCUUAGGGAAACAGAAGCUGGAAGUAAUCAAUAAAUCAUAGAAGAAAGUAAAGAGAAAGAACCUUUAAAGUGCCCAAGCUUAAAUGUCAAGAGUAUUAGAACAAAAGAGCUCAAAGCAGAAGAUUGUGUGACAGAGGAAUAUGCUGAAACUCUGUCAGAAAGCAGGCUCACUCCUGAGCGUGGAAAACAGUACAGACAAUGAAGGGCAGCAGAGAAGAACAGAAUAAGAAAUGAGGACACCGUGUACGUUCCUCUUCCUUAAAUAGCUUGAACACACAGGAUUGGUAUUAUUGUUAUUAGAAGACUCUGAGGAGUAAAACUGGAAGAACACCAUCACAGUUGUUGAAAAGAUCAGCUUUAAGCUAUGUAAUAUGCUAAGAAUGUGCUAUCAUAUAUGCAUGAAGGUAUGCCAUCAAUAUUGCAGAGUAAAAAGAUCUUGCUUACAUUGUCCUCCGCCAAAAAGAAACAGAGCCAACCAAGGCAGAGCUGUUGUUACAUUUAUCCCUAGACAAAUUCCUACAGUUACAUUUUUUUUUCCUAAUGACACUCUUUCAGUGAUGCACUUAAUCACACAUAGCUCUAGGCACAAGUGCUUGUCCCACUGAAAUCCACGUAUAUAAACAUACACUUAAAGUUAAGCUGGUACUCAAAAUGUUUUGCUGAGCUGAAGCCCGUGUGCUGAUGGAUUGCCUAGUUAGCCAUAAGCUGCAUGGUUACAUCUGUUUUUGACUUCUGGCUCAGAAACAGAUACCUGCUCUGUUUGAAUCAAAUUUAUCAUGGCCGCUACUCAUAUAAAAAUGCUUUUGGCACCACACAUGUCUGUGUUGUGAAACCAAAAUUUUAUGUUAAAAAUGGAUUUGUGGUCAACUGAGCAAAGGCGGCUUACAUUCUCCUCGGCAGAAACCUGUACGGGAAGAAAUUAAACGUGCCUUGAUGUACUUUGAAAAAGAGAAUUUGAGAAGCUCUCACAAAGGCUGCUGGAAAACAUCUGUCACAGCAAAAGGCAGACAAACCCCGGGCACUAUGCGUUGGGUGAUGGACUUUGCCAAGCAUGACAGGCAUGAGGGCUGCUGCAGCUAUUGAGACACACUGGCAGGCAGUAGACCUGAGCCGCAGCUCUUUCUUAAGAGCCCUGGUGGCACUGCCCACUGCACAGGUCUCAUUUCUGGGUCAAGUCUGAACAGAUAAUCUUUGCAGUUUGCUUGAGGUCAUGAUACGACUGUCGUAAAAACCAUUAUAAAGGCAUGCCCCUGGGGUAUUUGUUCUUGUGGGAAUAAAGCACUUAAAAUCCACACGGACCACUCAGUCAGUGGCAGGAAAGAGAACACAUACUGAAUUGUUUGUAAAAUAUUAUUAGCUUGAAUCAGGUGGUGAUAGCAAUAUGGAAACACAGCAGCUCAGUCCACUCUGAAGUCAUUAUUAACAUUAUCCUGCUAUUUGAGUAUGUACACACAAAUGACAGUACCGAUAUGCCAUUCCAGAGUAACAUCAGCAGGUAAAUUGACUGUUAAUGCUUGUGUUAAUGUUACUGAGCAUGUCCACAAUAACAAAGACAUUUCCAAAAACCUGAGUGAACUGAUGACAGGAGAGUGAUGAAUCAUGCAAAAAAAAUAAAUAUUACCACAAGUGCUCAUUUGACAGCAAAGAAUUUUGUGGUACCGCUCUGUGAGACAUUUAAAAUUUCAGUCAUAAUUUUAGGAGAUCUCUCUCAUUCAAAUUGUCAAAGCCUAGCAAGCUUGUUAACAACAUCAAGGGGUGACUGGUUCUUCAUCUUCUUGCUCUUGUUCUACUGAAUGAUCGAGGAACAAACUAAAACUGACAGCUAUUGCAAGGAUAACAAGAAUUAGGAGAUACAAAAUAUGUUUCUACCCCUCCUUGUCAAAUUCAGCCUAAGGUAGUUGAUAUUCAGUUCCGGAAAAUGUUGCAAAACUAAAAGGAGCUGUAGCUUAGAUCCUGGAUGUUCUGUCCCCGCCAAGCAGGGCCACUGGAGUGGCAUGAAGCAGGACAGCUAAUGGAACUGGGGUCCAUCAGCUCCCUUCUUUCAGGUUGCUAAUUCUACCAUAUACAAACGAGCUAGGAAUCCACUGAAAGAAUUAACAUGAAAGUUCUAAAGUCUCCCCAUGAUUUUCACAGUAUCUUGACAAAUUUGAUUGUAGGAACAGCAAAGCAAGUCCUUAAGCUAUGGUCUUUUUAUUAAAUAUUUGAUCUCCAUUAAAACAUCAAGACUUCUUGGUGGUGUUAGCUUUCAUUGUGAGUGAAUGCUUUCAAUCCAUGUCUUAGUUACCCUGGAUUCUUAGUUGAGAAAAUAAUAAAUAAAUAAAUAGAUGUUGAUGUACAUGAAGUACUGUGCUUAUUCACUGCAUACCAAUGUUCGAGAGUGUAAUGACAGGACAAGGAGCAGUGACUUUGAACUGACAGUGACUAGAUUUGGAUUAGGUAUUAGAAAAAACUUCUUUACUCAGAUAAUGGUGAGACAAUGGCAGAGGCUGCCCAGAGAAGCUGUGGAUGCUCCAUCCCUGAUGGUGCUCAAGAGCACAUUGGUUGGGGCCCUGGGCAACCUGACCUAGUGUGCGGUGUUCCUGCCAUGGUAGGGGGAUUGAAACUGGAUGAUCUUUAUGCUCCUUUCCAACUAAAACCAUUCUGUGAUUCUAUGAAAGCCAAUUUUGAUGAGAUUCACUUGAAACCUCACUCUAAAAAUAUUAUAUAAGUAGGUAGCCACUAAGAAUGACUAAGGUUUAGAAGAUAAGAUUAACGUUAUAAGAAAUCAGGCAAAUUACAUGCAGACAUGAUCCAACCACAGGAUAUGGGAUGCAUUGGUUGGGAGAACCCCACUUAGUUUGCUCAAGGAUAUUUUUUUUAUCAGGAAGCUAAAUAUAAUAUAGAGGGUGUGGCCUCAAGUUUAGCCAAGGGAGAUUCAGGUUGGACAAUAGGAAAAACUUCUUCAAAAGAGUGGUCAGGCAGUGGAAAGGGCUGCCCAGGGAGGUGGUGGAGUCACUGUCACUGGAGGUGUUCAGUACAUGUCUAGAUGUUGUACUGAGGGACAUGGUUUAGUGGGAAAUAUUGAGAGUAGGUGGACAGUAGGACUGGAAAAUCCUGGAGGUCUUUUCCAACCUUAGUGAUACAAUGAUUCUGUGAUUAUAUAAAUUAUUUCAUAGGUGUUAUUCAGCUCUCUCCAAUCAAGUCAGCAAGAUUUUAACUGAAGUUGUCUCAUGCUUGGCCAACCUGUUAGAUUGCAGUGAUGAGUUGACAGGCUUGGUGUAUGAGGAGAGUACAGUGGAUGUGAUUUAUCUCAGCUUUGGCAAGACUUUCACCACAUUCUCCCAUAUUGUCACCUACAUAACACUCCAGAAAUUAAUGAGUUGCAGACUAAAUGAAUGGACAGUGAGAUGGACUGUAAACUGUCUGAAUUGCUGGGCUUAACAGGCUGUGAUCAUGAAGUCCAGCUGGAGGCCAGUCAUAGCUAUGUACCUCAGGGGAAGAUACUGGGGCCAGUAGAUUUUAACACCUUCAUUAAUGACCUGGGCAACUCAACAGAGUGAAUCCUCUGCAAAUUUGCAGAUACAAUAAAACUGAGAAAAGAGUUUGCUAGACUAGAUGCUUGUGCAUCCAUUCAAAAGGACCUUGACACACUGAAGAACUAGGCUAACAGGAAACUCAUGAAGUUAAAUAAAGGGAAAUGCCAUGUCCUCCUCAUGAGGAGGAACAACCUCUUGCACCAGGAAAGGUUGAGGCCAGCUGGUUGGAAAGCAAUGCUGUAGAAAAUGCUGUGAUAUUCCUGGAGAGCAGCAAGUUAACCAUGGGCCAGCAAUGUACCCUUGAAGUACAUUGGGCUGCACUAUGCUGAGCAUUACCUGCAGGUCAUAUAAGGUGAUCUUUUCUCUCUGUUCAAACAAACCUGGAGCACUGAGUCCAGCCAUGGUCUUCCCAGUACAAGAGACCUGGGUAUACUGCAGCAGGUCCAGUGAAGGUCCAGAGGGAUGACUAAGGGCUUGCAGUACCUAAGGUACAAGGAGAGUCUGAGAGAGCUUGGACAGUUCAAUCUGGAGAAGAAAAAGCUCUGGAGAAUCUUAUCAGUGUGCAUAAACACCUGAUGGGGGACGAUAUGGAAGCUGGAGCCAGUCUCUUCCCAGAGGCACACACUGAAAAGACAAAACACAAUAGGAACAAAUUGAAAAUAUAUUUUUCCUGCAGGGGUUGUUGAAUAUUGGAACAAGUUGCCCAGAAAGGGUGUGGAGUCUUCAUCCUUGCAGAUCUUCAAAACCCAAAUAUUUUUUCAAUUUUUUUUCUGUAGGGCAUCUGCCUGCUCUUUCUGAAUUGCAAAAGAGUAAUUUCCUACUCUUCACUAUAUUGUUAAUACAGGCAGAGGCUCUUCAUAAAUGUAGUGUCAGCCCACAGAUCAAAUGUAUAUCUCACCUGCUACUUCCCCUACAAUUUUGGGUCUUGGGACAAUGCGUAGGCUGCACCGUUAGUGCCUCAGCUCAGACCUACAUGUUCUCCUGAACCAGUCCCUUUCCCCAACUGCCCCAGUGGGAUCACAGUUGUCUAUAACCAAAACAUUGCUGCAACUGUAAAAUUUGCCUGAAAGUUCAUUUCAAUCUGCUGCUUAUAGUAAACAGGUGGGUUAUGGCUUUGUCCUUCAUGUUCAGCCUCAUGUCAGUUCCAAAAAUCUUGCUCAACUGCUGUUCAGAGAUCUCAGCUGGAGUUGAGAACAAAAAUCUCACUGAACUUCAUCAAGUAUUUGGAGUAAAACUGACACAUGACUGGGGAUAGAAGGAAGGCACAGCCAGCAGGGGAGAGAGGAGUGCUUGUGAAAGACUUCAAAAUGGAGAGAAUUCAUUCUUGUUGAUGAGAAGGCCUUGAGGAACUCAACCUACAAAUCAUUACACUGUUGCAAGAAUAAGAGAGAAAUCAUUCAUUACUAAAAAAGCCUCAUAGUGCCAUUCAAGCACGUUGAGAGCUUUUCUGAGAAUGUACCUUCCGCAGAGCAAUGGAGCCAGAGUGUGAAAUGACCAAAGUGAUUGAGAGAAGCUAAUAGCAGUAGUCCAGAGCUCAGAGAGAUUUGAAGACAUUCUCCAUAGUGCUGUGGUCUUACAAGUCAAACACAAACUGUGGACACAGUAGUCGCAUGUGCUUCAGAAGCUCCUGUGUUCAGUGGAAAGGAGCCUCCUCAAGAACGUACAACGGUCUGAGCACCGCCCUGCAGCAGCCCCCGAACCAGCAAGAUGGGCUUCUUGCAAAAGGAGGCGGCACCGCUGGAUCAAGACUGCUGAGGAUGCAGAAUUGUAGUCCCUGGAGAAAGGAACGGCUGUCUUCCACCCAUAUAACUCAAAAAGUGGAAACUUCUCAGGUAAGGAUCAAAUAGUUGAACCUAAGCUGGUUUCUUCUGUACAUGUGGCAGACCAGCUCCCAUGAAACACAGUGAGGCUGACAAGGAAGACUCUUUUCCAUUGGGGAUUUCACAUACAAUAUGCAUGCAGAUCAGUGCUUUGACUGAAGUUCAUUUGAAAAUGAAAACAAAAGCCACAUAAGACACCAGAAUGCAGGUACUUUGACAACUGUCAGGUUGGAAAGUGCUUUAUAUGUAAGACAAGUCAUAGUGUUCAGUCUAUUUGGAAACUGAUGCCACUGCUCACUUUUACAGACAGUUCCUUUAGGUGAGAGUGACACUGAUAUCAUUCACAUAGACACUGCCAGAUUGAUGUCAGCGAGACAGCAAAACGUUCAGGUUCACUGGAAGGAAUGUAACACCUUGGCUAAAAUGAAAUCCUUGACCAUGUAGAAAGGGAGCGGGUCGGAAAGGUACCUACCCCUGCCAAAUGUUUACUCUUGCAUCCCUGCCUCGCAGAGGGUGUGUGCCAUGUCGAGUCAGAGCCAAGGACAGUAAAGAAAUUCUGUGUGAAUAACACCUGACUGUUGUGGGCAAAGAACUAUGAAAUUAAGCCAUAAACUACGUAUGUGGUCAUUUAAACUAAGUUUAAGGCUUUGUAUAUCACAGGGUUAUAAAGCAAUGCUGGGGAGAGGUUAUAUUUUACAAAAAUAUUGAUGUUUACGCUAGAUUAAUGAUUACUUGCCUGUAGAGAGGAACAGCGAAUGGAAUAUCUAUCCAAGGUCAGGCUGUGUCUGAGCUGCAGACACAAUAAGUCACUAGAAAGUUUUGAGCAAGAGGAUUUGGCCUAAACAGAUUUUUUUCAAAGAGCUGGCUAAGAUUGCUAAUUAUUUCUUUGAGUAACUUUGAACUGCUAGUUUCUGAAUCAUUGUCAUUCCAGAGGGAUUAGUAAAUCUUUUCAGUAAAAGGAACACACACCAAAACUUAAAAAAUGCAUUUACAGAAACCUCCUUCUUUUCUUGUUCUAUCUUGGCACUAAACAUGCGAGAGGAAGCUCACUUUAAAUAAAAAAAAGAAAAGAAAAGAAAAGAAAAGAAAAGAAAAGAAAAGAAAAGAAAAGAAAAGAAAAGAAAAGAAAAGAAAAGAAAAGAAAAGAGAAGAGAAGAGAAGAGAAGAGAAGAGAAGAGAAGAGAAGAGAAGAGAAGAGAAGAGAAGAGAAGAGAAGAGAAGAAAAGAAAAGAAAAGAAAAGAAAAGAAAAGAAAAGAAAAGAAAAGAAAAGAAAAGAAAAGAAAAGAAAAGAAAAGAAGAGAAGAGAAAAGAAAAGGAAUAAGAACACAAGUUAGAACUGAAAAAAAACUUGUUUUAAAUGCUUUCCUUUCCAACUGCUCAUCACAUCGGCUUAAGAUCACGUAAUUCAAAAACUGCAGAUCAUUUGCAGUGCUCAAACUUCCACGCACAAUUUUCAUGCGCAGCCUGGUAAAAUCAAGCAUGAGCAGGAAGCAAAUCACAGAAGAAACAUUUUCAUGCCUUAAAAUUACACUGGGAAGAGGGGAAAAAACAAACUUAAAACAUGCAAACAGCAAACUUGUCCAUUCACCGCAGCUGUGUUCCAGCCAGUAGUUCCCACAGCUUCAAGACCAAUACAUUAAGCUGACAGAGAAAAUGGCUGCCGUCUUCUGAGGCCAAGUUACAGCCAUCCUUGUGGUUUGAAAGUCUGAAGUGCAGUGCUCAGAUAAAGCAGGCAACUCUACUCCAGCCUGGUAGAGACAUUAAAACACACGAGAACUUCAGUAGAAGUCAUGGCAGUCCAGUGAAGUUCCCACUGACUGAAAACAGGAGGAGAGAAAAGCGAAGCAGUUUUAUAAAGGACAAAAGGAAGACUCAGGAAACUGCAGGCUAAUCAGUCUCAUUCCUGUGCCCAGUGAGAUCACGGAGAAGAUCCUCCUGGAAACUAUUCUAAGUCACAUGGGGCCCUGAGCAGCUUGAUCUAGUGGAAGGUGUCCUUGGCAAUCACGGAGGGAAUGGAAUUAGACAGUCUUUAAGAUCCCUUUCAAUCCAAACCAUUCUAUGAUUCUGUGGUUCUAUGACUUUCUGUAGUUUCUCUGGAAGGAUGCAAAGGUAUUGUGGAACAGAUGGAAGGGACGGGGCAUCAAUUUGGUUUUCCUCCAGUAAUACGAAGCAGUAGAAGUAAAUACUCCAGCUCUGUCUCUAUUCAUUUCUUGCUGCUUGGGUGGUUGAGUGAUAAGGGAGAAUUUUUUCUUUCUCCUCCUACUCCUAUCCGGCUGAAAGGGUUAUAUUUAAAUAAUGGAUCUUGUAGUCCUGUGUGCUUUGUAAGCUGAUGCUCAAGUGCCUGCUUCUUUACUAUUGUAAAGUUGAUAACACCAUUUUUACAUGUAAAGCCUUCACAGCAGGCAGCUGAAUGGCUGUCCAGAUGGCAGGGUUGUUGUUUGGGAGUCCCUGAGCUAGCAACUCCUUAGUCAUCAAGGUUCUUCAAUUAUUGUCAUCUCCCUCUUGUAAGUGUCUCCACUGAUUCAUAUCAGUGUCACAGAGGUACAUUUGUUGGACUUACUCUUAAGAAAAAGUGGUGGUAAAAAAUGUAUGGCAAUUCAUGAUGGCCAGAAGGGGUCCCUACCUUUGGAAGCAAGGUUUGCUGUUGCUUGUGUUACAUACUCAGCAGUUCACAGUAGUGGCAUUCUGCAUCACUUGGGACCAAAAAAAAAAGUAAGGUAUCUCAGUAGCAGGGCAUCAGUGCAGACUUCCAAAAGUAAGACUGUCAGGGAACCACUUCUUAUUUGAAUUCAAUUGCAGCUUUACAUGUGCUGGAUGCAUAUGGUUUUCCACAUUAAGAUGUAAAGUUUAUACAAAUCUGAGGUGUGAAUGAUUCCACUGAGUGCUGAUGACAAAUAUUUCAGUAUCAACACUUAGCUGUUAAGCUUACCUUAAAAACUUGCUGGAAUGAGAAGCCAUUGGUAAUUUCUCUACUGACAUUAGACAGCAAAAAAAGCAGAGCUUCUGAGCACUUCUUAUGGAGACUAGCUGGAGCACAGGGCAUGUAUGAACUAUCCUUCCCCGCUGUUCCAGCUGGCUGGUAAUUUAUGAUGCAAGAUCCACAGUGUGAGAAGUUAGAGCCCAGAGUCAAUGACAGGAAGUUGAAAAUGAAAGGCCUGUAAGUCCUAAGAGUAGCCAGUCAUGCUCUCAAUGCAAAGGAGCCAUAAAAGUCAAUUAAUCCUUUAUGACUGGGAGUAUAGAUACUUCUGUUGUUGUUGCUUUUUUUUUUUUUAAUUACCCCAUAUAUUCUGUCAAUAAAAUGAGUUCCAGCAAUAUCUCUACAGAAGAAAUGGCAAAAGGUGUGAGAAAGCAGAAAAAGCUUAUUAACUUAUUUCUACUUUCAAAUGUCUCCUAGAUAUCUUGCUAUUUCACUGAGGGGCAUAGCAGAGAUAAGAGGAUGCCCACUUUCCACAGAUAACUUUAGCUGGCAUAGUCACCAACAGUGAUCUCAGAGUAGACAGAGAUAAUAGACAAUUGAACAAGUAUGGCUCUUCCCUCUGCAACUUCUUUAACUCCUGAUGAUCCAUAACACUUCAGUGGGAAUGACCAGGACUUUUUUGUGCAUUGAAACCUGGAGGACCUUAGUCAGAAUCUCAGGAACCUAAGUUAAUAUUCUGAAUCAGGUUUCACUACAGGAGAGUUUAGGGAAUUUCCCACAGUGGGAUCUGAAAGAAUGAGCCCAAACAACUGUUUAAUGUCAAAAUGUCAGCAGAAGAGAUUUCAAAAUGCAUAAUCAAAAUUAACAGUAAAUUCGUACAUUCACAUGGUGGUACCCAAAAGUUCUGAAGAUACUCAAACAUUGAAAACUAAUCUCCAUUUCAGAAAAACAGUGGAAGAAGUGAUGCCACUAUUUAAUAAUAAUAAUAAUAAUUAAUAAUAAUAAACCUCUGCAGGGCUGUUGGCCCAUAGAACUAGAGACAAUUUACCCAAUUUUAACACCAGGUAAAUUACUUCUGAGGAUGGAAGUCACACCACCCAAAUUUAUUUAUAAAAACUGUCAGAGGAUGAACAGGUGGAAAAGGGUGAUCUCACUGAUAGGGUUUACUUGCAUAUCUAAAAUGUUUUACAUGAAGUCUUAUAAAAAAUAUAAGAUUCCCAUGUGGAGUGGUAAACCAGUAUAAGAUAGGAAGCAAAGGAAUAUAUUAUCAAUUUUCACUGUGAAGGGAUGUCUAGUAGAAUUACACAGUGAUGUGUACUGGGACUAUAUUCAUAAAAUAAGAUGAAAAAUGGGUAAAUAAGGAAGCAUAAUGAUGAUGCUAAAUAAUUCAAGGCAGCAAAAAUGCAAUUUGUCUGUGAAGGAUUCAAAAAUACCUCAUGAUAUUGAGUGACUGGAAACUAACAGGGCAAAGUAAAUUUGAUUCUGGCAGUCGUGAAAUAAUAUACAUUAAGAAAACGACAUCUGUAUAUGUGUGCAUAUACAGCAGUGUGUUGUGGUUGAGCUCUUGCCACUCAGGAAGAUUUUGUGUUGUGUGGACACGGCUUUGAAAGCAUCUCUUUGGUGCCUAUCACCUGCAAACUUGGCUUAUAAACUGUUAGGAAAGAAAUUGAGUGCAAAAGAAAACACAUAAUUAUGGCAUUGUAUAAUGCCAUACAUAGAAGUAGGGCUUCUGGUUUAUUUCUGAAAGGAACAUACUUGUUACAGUAAGAAGCCAGCAAGCAAUGAAUAGUAAAUGAAGUGAAAGAUCUGCUUAACACCUCACUGUGAACAAAAAUGAUAAUGUAGACAAAGGGUUUGUGUUGUUUGGGGUUUUUUUGUUUGUUUGGUUGGUUGGUUGGUUUGGUUUUGGUUUUCUUCACAGUUCAAGGCAGGAGAAAGACAGUUGUCAAGGGCUAUAACAGAGGCCUAUCAAAUUAAAUAUUAGUUGGGAAAGGUAAAUAGAGAACAACUACUCCCUCUUUCUUCUAAUAUAAGAAGUAAAGACAUCAAAUGAAAUUAUCAGACAACAGGCUUAAAGCAAAAGGAAGUACUUUUUCACAAACUACAUAAUGAAAUUGUGGAACACAUUACACAGGAUGCUUGCAAGGCUGAAACCAUAAAUGAGUUCAAAAAGAAAUUAUACAAAUUAAUGGAAGAAGGGCCCAUGAUGGGUUAAACUUGAUGAUGUAGAUGCAAUUUACAGGUCAGGAAGAGUCUCAGAUUUUCUGGAGACAGAACCACUGCGUACAUUCCUUAUUCUUUCUCUGCGUAUCCACUACCAGCCACAGUCAGAGAGAUGAUGUUGCACUUCGGUCUUUGUUCUGACCCGGCAAAGCUUGUCUUACAUUUUUUUUCAGGGAACCAUAACCCAAAAUCCACUAUGAGCCUGGAAAAGCCAGUCUGUGAAGCUCAGGCACAAAAUAACCAUUGGGUUAGACUUGCUUUUAACAGCUACUCAGCUCUCAUUUUUGAUGCUUUCUGAUUUUAAGCUCUCUCAAAUUAUCACUGUAUUGCCAGCAUGCAUAUUUGUAUGGACUGAUCUGGUCCUCACCUGGGGGAAGUAGUAGCAAGCACCUUAGGUAACUGUGGCUAUUCAGUAGCAAGUACUGUGACCAAAGAAGCCUCUGUAGAAUAGGAUAAAUGGUGCUGGGGAUCCCGUAUCUGUACUCUGCAUCUUUGGCUGGUGGUUAAUUCUAGCUUUAGUUUGGUUCCACUGAGGAAUACUGCUAGCAGCUGCAUCGCACUAAGUGCAUGGCUGGAGCACAUAUUGCAAUUGAGUUUCAUACAAAGUUUGCAUGUUCCACGGUGUGAACCAAAGCAUAGUAAGAGGGCAGGAGUAGUCAGGAGAUUUAUUGCAAAAAUGUAUGCCUGAUCCAAACUGAAAUGCUAAUGUGGUACACCCACUGGCUGCUACAAGGAGUCUUUCUAAGAGGCUAUUGUCAAUGUGCCAUAGGGUAAGAAUUUAACCUACUGUGAACAAUUGAAGCUUUCCAUUUUGUUUCUCUUUUCUUCCUUUCCCUUCACUACAGUUUACAUUCUGAUUGUGUCAACCCAUUUAUUUAGCAGUUAAUUCAUUGCUUGUAAGUCAAGAAAUAUUGCUCAUUAUGCAUAUAGACAGCAUUGUUUAUUUUCCUGGCUUUUAAGCAAGGGCUUGAACUGUUUUUGUCUUUUUAAAUAAAGCUUCCUGGAUAUCAAGAUGCCUUCUGUGGCAGAGGGCACAACCACCAAAGGACAUGCAGCAUGUCAGAUUAUGUGAUGGAGUCUUGAAUACAACAUGUAACUCUCAUCAACUUUUGUGGAUAGACCAGCAGGUCCCUAGGAGCAGAAAGCUUGUGCAACUUUGCACUCAAAACAAUGUUGCUAUCAUGCAAGCUACUGCAUCUGUAUAUUACAGAGUGCAUCUGCUUUCAGGAUUUAUGAAGGUGGGAUGAAAGAGAGCCAGAGUUGAGAUUCACCUUAGGGGCUGCUGUGUAUGAGCUGGACAGAACUCAGACUGGGGUUCUGUGGCAAUGCUCACACUAGCAAUGCUCAUUAGCAACACUGAGCCUCAACAGACACUAUUAAAUCUUUGAGUACCUGUGUCAGUUUCAGGACAGGUAUGUUACUGACAUCAAACGUUAGACCCAGCACUAGCCCUAUUUGUAUGCAUGGUCUUUCUGUCCCAACCUGUUCUUAGCAAACCAUCACCAAAUAUCAAAGCAAAAUAAAUGCUAGACUAGCACAAUGUCUGUAUUUGAUUCUAAAUGCUACUUAAAUCAGGUACUUGCGUGUUUAUUUUUCACUAAAGAAGUCAUGAGAAAAGCAGAUAUGCUUGUAAGGAAAGCACAAUUCCUUUUGAUUCUAGUAUCUCUCAUUUUAUAAUAUUAAACAUUUCCUAGGAAUGAGAAAAUGUGACCAACAUCCCUACAUGACAGAAACAGUGGUUUAAAAUCCAUCAGUUUUACUAAAAUUUUCACAACAUAAAUACAAUUGUUUCCUGUGAUAGUAAUAAUUCAAAGCUCUGUCUGGAUGUAAUUUAAAUUUUCCUUUACAGCUAUACUUCCAAAUGUCUCAUCUUUUCACAAGUUCAUAGUAUCACAUCAACCUAAAAUCCAGGUGGAGCUAAAGUGGUAGAGCUCACAUGCAACCAGUCUUUCCUAUUUCAAAAAACUAACAAGCAAAAAAACGAACAAACAAAAAAACCCAUUAACCACAACUAUCAUUAAUACUGAGGGGAAAAAAUGUUGUAAUUGCAUAAAAGGUCUCUCAAACUGCCUGUGGCCUGGGCAGUGCUGUGGAUUGGAGCUUGACUACUUCAUCCAGCAGGACCCCCAUCCAAAUAGCAGUAUAUUCAUACUAUUCAGGCACCAAGAAUAAGAGUUUUCUCCCAAGACUGUGCAUGCUACUGUCAUUUCACUUGCAAAUGAAGAGCAGAUAUUUCUUGAUGUGGAAGGUAGCAGUAGCUAAACAACAAACAAUAUUCACAAUACUACAUUAGUUUUCCCAGACAUGUGUAUGAGAGUUAAGAUGAAAAUCUGCAUACUAUCUGAUAAUGAAGUUAGAUCCUUAAAGGCUUAUGAUAUUAGAUUUACUGCUGAAGGGAGGUAGUUGUGAGCCCAUGUUAAGGCUUUUCUGCUUCCACAACUUGCUUUUUCCUUUUCCAAUCCCUCUCUGCCUCAAACCUGCAUAUCAGUUGAAGGUCAAGUACUGAAUCUGUGGAGAUUAUACCGCACUGUUCCACCUUUUGGAAGUACUUUCUCUUCUGCAUGAUGCUUAAGUAGGUGAUGAUACAGUGUUAAAUAGCAUUGGCUUCAUUAACAUUAUCUCCCUCCUCUUGUUAUAACCUGAUCAUAAAUGUUCAUGACAGUGCACUAAAAGAAAGGUUUGUUU